GCUAGUGUAGUAUAGUGGUUUUAGUGGUAGACUAGGACUCUGAGAGACCAUGGUUUGAAUCCCUGCUCGAUCA